GAUAAAGUGGACCAUUAACAUCAGGAGUGGUCUUUACUCUGUGCCAGCUAUACUCAGAGAGGCUCAACCAUUGCAACAUUCACUCCACUGGUAUGUCCACAGCGGUGAUGCUUGAGAAUCUCUCCAACUGUAUCAUCCUGAAGCACUGAUGUCAGGAACAAGAACAAUGCCACCUAAAAAAGUCACAGUCUUCAUGUUGACACCAUCCAUUCCCACUGCUCAAGUACAACUAGAGAGAAAAUGUUGUCUGGGGAUAACCAAGCAACCAAGACAGCUUAUGAACCUUUCAUCUUGAAACAAGCUCAUGGUCUGAGUUCCUUGCCAAGAAAAGAGUGAGAUUAUACGUUUGUUCUGACCAGUCAAGCCCAGGGGAGAUCCAAUGAAGAUGAGUGUUGAGGGAUUCAAAACAGACAAAAGGAAACAUUUCUUCAUAACAUGUGUGAGCAAACUGUGGAGCUGCUUCGACAAGACAGAGUGAAGACUGCCAACGCUGAUCAUUUUAAAUGGGUAUUAAACAGAAUCAUGACAGGGAAGGCUGGAGAUGACUGUUAGUCAUGAUGGCUAUGAAUUACCUAAAACAUCAGAGCCACUAUGGGUACAUCCAGACUGAGAAGUCCCAGAUUUUGUUCCUCUUCUUUCUGAUUUUAUACUGGGUUAAAAUACAGGGACCCGGAAAGCUGGUAUAAAAAGUUUCUGAUCUUACUGGGAAACUGAUAGAAUAUAUUCCAGGAUAAACAAAGUGGGUAUGGUUCUCCAAAAUAAAGUAAAAAGAACAGAAACAAAAUUUGGGACUGUCUGGUCUUUUUAAUCAGUUUGGAUGACUUUUAGCACCAAGGACUCUUUCACAUUAUACAAAUACAGAAUUAUGAUUUCAUUUCAAUUGCCAUGGUGGCAUCCUGUGAAAUCCUGGAAUUUGUAGUUUGGUCAGAGGAACCCAAGGAGCUCCCUGGCUGAGAGUUCCAAAUGUUCCUCCCCAAACUGUAAAUCCCACGAUUCCACAGGAUGGUAGCAUGGCAGCUAAAGUGGAAUCAUAGUGUUAUAACAGUGUAGUGUGAAAAGGCCACAGUUGUAGGGGUGCAUAAGCAGUAGAUGUUGUUGGGUUUGUAUCCUAUUCCCAAAUAAAUUUUAUAAAAGAUUGCAUCAUAUGUCCUUGUGACUGAUUUCAGCAUGUAUUAAUGGUUCUGCCUUGUAAUGACUAUUUAGAACAUGUAUAAAGAAUGAAACACCAGUAGACCCUUUGUCACUUUACCUCACUCUGCUAUUGCUUGGCCACAUAUGUCUUGGUUUUCUUUCAUGAAAUGUUGAAAAGUAUGAAAUUACUGGACUACCUUUUAAAUGUGUUUGCAGAAUGCAGUGGCCAUUCAGUCGCUGAGUCCAAAUACUUCCUCCUAAAUGGUUGCCUUAAGAAACCUCCCAUUCCUUAUGAAAAAGACUGAGGUCAAAUCCCCGUCACUGCCACGGUGACCACUGGGAAGAGCGAAAUAGCUUAAGAAGAUCACAGCUAGGAUGGAUCUGAGAACAGAAAAGAGGAAGAGGACAAAGGACUCCUUACAUCAGAAAUGAGAACUG